rnacentral:rRNA from 1 species
GAUGAACGCUGGCGGCGUGCCUAAUACAUGCAAGUCGAGCGAACAGACGAGGAGCUUGCUCCUCUGACGUUAGCGGCGGACGGGUGAGUAACACGUGGAUAACCUACCUAUAAGACUGGGAUAACUUCGGGAAACCGGAGCUAAUACCGGAUAAUAUAUUGAACCGCAUGGUUCAAUAGUGAAAGACGGUUUUGCUGUCACUUAUAGAUGGAUCCGCGCCGCAUUAGCUAGUUGGUAAGGUAACGGCUUACCAAGGCGACGAUGCGUAGCCGACCUGAGAGGGUGAUCGGCCACACUGGAACUGAGACACGGUCCAGACUCCUACGGGAGGCAGCAGUAGGGAAUCUGCCGCAAUGGGCGAAAGCCUGACGGAGCAACGCCGCGUGAGUGAUGAAGGUCUGCGGAUCGUAAAACUCUGUUAUUAGGGAAGAACAAAUGUGUAAGUAACUAUGCACGUCUUGACGGUACCUAAUCAGAAAGCCACGGCUAACUACGU